rnacentral:lncRNA from 1 species
AUGGCGACGUAUCCACCGCGGAGGCUGCUGGGAGCAAGACCUUUACCCUCUGACCCCCGCCGUGACCCCCGCCGUUCCGACUUCCCUCCAGGCGGCGGCGGAAGGUGGGAGCGGCGAUUGCGGACCGGACAGAGUUGGGGGUGGUUAGACUGCUUCUCGCGCGUUGGAGAGGGGACUCGGAGGGGCGCUUCCCCCCCUCGCUUUCCUCCUCGCGGCCCCCACCUUCUCUCUCACCAACUCACCGGGAGGCUCGUAGCUACUCCGCAGCCGUUACAACCCCGAAACCUCCGGUGCUUGCGCGCGCGCUUCGAGGGACCAGCAGCACGUCACCAUCACUUUUUGAGAAGAAAAUUCAAGAAGGAGCAAAUCUUAGGUCCUUCCCUCCCUUUUCCCUCCCUUUUCCCUCCACAGUUCCUUCCUGCCUCUUCAGCUUUCUCUUCAACUAUGUAA